rnacentral:rRNA from 1 species
AACGGCCAUACCAUGCUGAAUAUACCGGUUCUCGUUAGAUCACCGAAGUCAAGCAUCAUGGGGCGCGGUCAGUACUUGGGUGGUGAAACACCU